rnacentral:rRNA from 1 species
GGCGUAGGCGGAGAUGUAAGCCAGAUGUUAAAUCCCGUGGCUCAACCACGGAACCGCAUUUGGAACUACAUCCCUUGAGGAUAGACGGAGAAAACGGAAUUCCACAUGUAGCGGUGAAAUGCGUAGAUAUGUGGAAGAACACCGGUGGCGAAGGCGGUUUUCUAGUUUAUUCCUGACGCUGAGGCCCGAAAGCUAGGGGAGCAAACA